rnacentral:rRNA from 1 species
UACGUAGGUGGCAAGCGUUGUCCGGAUUUACUGGGCGUAAAGAGCGCGCAGGCGGUCGGAUAAGUCGAAUGUGAAAGCCCCCGGCUUAACUGGGGAGGGUCAUUCGAUACUGUUCGACUGGAAGGCAGGAGAGGGAAGUGGAAUUCCCGGUGUAGUGGUGAAAUGCGUAGAUAUCGGGAGGAACACCAGUGGCGAAGGCGACUUCCUGGCCUGUUCUUGACGCUGAGGCGCGAAAGCUAGGGGAGCAAACGGG